UUCGGGGAGGACGCUCACCACUUUGUGGUUCAUGACUGGGGUGAAGUCGUAACAAGGUAGCCCUAGGGGAACCUGGGGCUGGAUCACCUCCUUAUACGAAGAUA
rnacentral:rRNA from 1 species